GGGCUUAUAGUUUAAUUAGUUGCAACGUACCGCUAAUAACGGUAUUAUUGUAAGUUCGAGCCCCACUAAGCCUA
rnacentral:tRNA from 1 species